GAUUUCAAAUGAAAAAGUCAUCAACAACAAAGUUGUAUAAAGUUGUAUAACUCAUCAAGGUCUAUAACUUCUAUUUUGGUCAUUUCUUCAUCCGACAAAGUGAUUUGUAACAUUGUUCACAAAAUGUACAUAUCUCUAGUUUUAUAAACUAUAAGAGAGAUAUGUAAAUUUUAAGAAUAUGUUACGAUCACUUUGUCGGAUGAAGAAAUGACCAAAAUAGAAGUUAUAGAUCUUGAUGAGUUAUACAACUUUGUUGUUGAUGACUUUUUCAGCUGAAAUC
rnacentral:pre_miRNA from 1 species